AUUGAACGCUGGCGGCAGGCCUAACACAUGCAAGUCGAACGAGUGGCGGACGGGUGAGUAAUGUCUGGGAAACUGCCUGAUGGAGGGGGAUAACUACUGGAAACGGUAGCUAAUACCGCAUAACACCGGAUGUGCCCAGAUGGGAUUAGCUAGUAGGGGGGGAAAAGGAUCACCUGGGCGUCGAUCCCCAGCUGGUCUGAGAGGAUGACCAGCCACACUGGAACUGAGACACGGUCCAGACUCCUACGGGAGGAAGCAGUGGGGAAUAUUGCACAAUGGGCGCAAGCCUGAUGCAGCCAUGCCGCGUGUAUGAAGAAGGCCUUCGGGUUGUAAAGGACGUUCAGCGGGGAGGCGUUACCCGAAGAGGAAGCACCGGCUAACUCCGUGCCAGCCGCCGCGGUAAUAC
rnacentral:rRNA from 1 species